CGUUGGCAGCAGGGGGAGCGGAGCGGAGCCCGGAGAUGGAAGCGGAGCCCGGGGCCUCGCCGGCAGGAGGUGGGAGCGGAGCGGAGCCUGGGGCCUCGCCGGCCGGAGAUGGAAGCGGAGCCCGGGCCUCGCCGGCAGGAGAUGGAAGCGGAGCCUGGGGCCUCACCGGCAGGAGGUGGGAGCGAAGCCUGGGGCCUCGCCGGCCGGAGAUGGAAGCGGAGCCUGGGGGCUCGACCUGUUGCACUCGCCCAGCUCCGGCACCGGUGAACCUGAUUCCAAACGUAGAUGACUUGGAUGUCUGUUUUUUUUUAUAAUGGGUGCAGGUGUCGGUGAACCUGAUUUCCCCGUCCUCUGCGAUGGAUAGCUGUGAAAUUUGGUGAUUUUUAAUGUGUGCAGGUGUCGGUGAACCUGAUUUCCCCGUCCUCUGCGAUGGAUAGCUGUGAAAUUUGGUGAUUUUUAAUGUGUGCAGGUGUCGGUGAACCUGAUUUCCCCGUCCUCUGCGAUGGAUAGCUGUGAAAUUUGGUGAUUUUUAAUGUGUGCAGGCCAUUGCAAGAUCCAAGCUCUUGCCAGAAGCUAGAAUGUUGGUGUCCCUACUGGGGUGAGAUAGCUGAGAGGUCGUCAGCGAGAUGCCCGUCCUCCAGAAGUGAUUACUUCCCCACCAUGACGCACUGUCAGCCGCACCUGAAGCACUGUAGCUGGAUUGAAUGGACGACUUCUGCUACAGCCACGAGUAAGUCCGAAGAAGGGUGCCGACAUCAUCUAUCCACGUUCUCCAGAGCUACUGCCUGACCCGCUGAGUUACUCCAGCACUUUGUGUCUUUUGAUACUGUUUUACUAGACAGGUGGAAGAAAUAAUAUCCCGUUGUGGCCACUGCAUCAGUGACAUUACCUCAAAUCUUGUGAAGAUUGCAGAUCUAAAUUGAUCUUUGUCUUGCUGGUUAGGCUUAUUUUCACUCUAGGCCCCUGUCCAUUGGGGUGGAUUAAAGCUGCACUGUAUUGGAGAGGGUGCUGAUUCCCACCCUAGAUGGCUUUUACCUGAUCCAGUUACCUGUAAUCCAAAGCGCAUUCAUGCUACCAUGGUAGAAGCCAGCCUUGCAGUGUCAAGAGCCAUGGAAAUGGGUCCUUAGACCCAAUCUGCCCAUACCGAUCAAGAUGUCCCAUCUAAGCUACUCAUAAAUGUAUUUUUAAAUGUUAUAGUACUUUCCUCAACUACCUCCCCUGAGAGCUUGUUCCAUAUACCCGCCAUCCGCUGUGGAAAAGUUACCCCUUGGAUUCCUAUUAAAUCUUUCCCCACUCAACUUAAACUUAUGCCCUAUAGUUCUUGACUCUGGGUAAAAGACUCUGCGCAUCUACUCUGUCCUGUCUUAACAGCGGGUGCUGAUACAAAUUCCAGUGGCUUGGUGCAAAUUAUGUGUAAUAGCAAAGGCAGGUUGGCAACUGGGCUGUGGGAGCACUGGGUAUGUGCAUUGCAGCUGACAUUACCAAGUGGUAGGCUAAAUUGAUGCUACUUUAAACUGAUGCAAGUUGGCAUACGCCAGCUAUUCAAGGCUGUGCAACUUGAAUUGUACUAAAGCUGUGCCUUUGUGCUUUCUUUUUCAGAUGUGACAAUAAAAUAUGAAAUUAGACAUGUUCCUUUCUAUGAUCUGAAGAGGUUUAAAUAAGCUAAUGAUGAUAAAUAUUAAAUUGCAAUUAAAAUAUCUGAAAUAAA